CUGCGCCUUAUCUCUCUCCUUUGAACCCAGCACCUUCGGCGCUCAGUCUGGCUCCUGGUUCCGUUCCGCUCGCCGCACGUCCGCGCGAUCCCUUCCUGCCGGGUCCCCUCUCUGGCCCCGCCCAGACCCGCGCAUCUGCACCCACACCGCGUGUGCCCUGAUCGCGGGAGCACACGGGCCGGCCGGGCAUCGAUUGCUGGGGAGGCCCGGACUGUCUCGGGCCUCAGAAGCCACCUCGGGUUCCCCACUUGUCCCAGAUUGAAGACCGAGCCGCCCCAGUUCGGAGGCGUGGGGCGGAAGCGCGCGCAGAAGCCCACUAACUGCCGAGUUGGGAGGUUGGGCCGUAGCGGAGGGCAGGCAGGCGGGUGGGGUGCGGGGGUCAGGAGGCAGAGCAGGGGAGACAGGCCCGCGUGGGUGGUGGGGCAGCCCCCAGCCCUCUCUUGCCGGAUGGAAGCCAAAGUGACCCGGGGUCAGCAGUGCGCGGGAGCAGGGAGCCCCGGCAAGCCUUGAACGGAAAACGAUCCUGGAUGGGGCGCAGGGAGUAUUCAGGACAGGCUUCCUGGAGGAGGUGACAUCUGAACCCUGAGAGGUGAAUGGAUGGUGGCAUUAAGUGGAGUUAGAGUCCAGAGGGCAGACCCAGGUGGAAGAUGCUGUACUAUCUGAAGAUGAAGAAAUGGGCCAUGAGCCAAGGAACGCAGAUGCUUCUAGAAGCCGGAAACACCUUCUCCCCAGGAGCUUCCAGAAGGAAAAUGUGGCCCUGUGGACACCUGGAUUUCAGCCCAGUGAGACCCGUUUUGGACUUCUGACCUCCAGAACUGUCAGAUAACUGUGUGUUCUUUUAAGCCACCAAGUGAGUGCUGACUCGUCACGGCAGCGAUAGGAGACUCAGACCCCCAGCCUCCUGCCCAGAGUCCUGCUUGUGCUCUCAGAACCAACACCCCCCCACACACACACACACAUCUGGACUCAGUUUCCAAAUCAGCAGUCUGGGGCCCCAUCCAGGUCAGACCCACAACCCCUGCAGCAUGCACCCUAUCACCCACCCCUCCAGACCUCUGGGGCCCCUCUGGGGGUCUCCGGGGCUGCUGCUCCCUUGUUCCGGCAGGGUGGGGACUGAAAUCCCACAAGUCUGUCUGUCACUGCCUCUCUGUGCCCUGCAGUGCCCAACUCACGCCAGGCCUGCUGUCCCAGGCCUCUCUGUGUCUGGCUGUCCUCCCUGGCCUAGCCUUUGCCAAAUAAGACCUCUGUCCUCAGUGGGGGGUUCCUCUCCCCAAAGGCAGGAGCCCCCAGUUCAGACA